UGACCACAAGUUUAACGGCCGCGGUAUUUUGACCGUGCAAAGGUAGCGCAAUCACUUGUCUUUUAAAUAAAGACCCGUAUGAAUGGCUAAACGAGGGCUUAACUGUCUCCCUUUUCAGGUCAGUGAAAUUGAUCUACCCGUGCAGAAGCGGAUAUAACAAUACAAGACGAGAAGACCCUUUGGAGCUUAAGGUACAAAACUCAACCACAUCAAGCAACUUAAUAAAAAGUAAAAACUUUGUGAAACAUGAGAUCUUACCUUCGGUUGGGGCGACCGCGGAGGAAAAUAAAGCCUCCAAGUGGACCGGGACAAUACUCCUAAAACCAAGAGAAACAUCUCUAAGCCACAGAACAUCUGACCAAACAUGAUCCGGCCACCAGGACCGAUCAACGAACCAAGUUACCCUAGGGAUAACAGCGCAAUCCCCUCCCAGAGUCCAUAUCGACGAGGGGGUUUACGACCUCGAUGUUGGAUCAGGACAUCCUAAUGGUGCAGCCGCUAUUAAGGGUUCGUUUGUUCAACGAUUAAAGUCCUACGUGAUC
rnacentral:rRNA from 1 species